CAGCCACACCAGCCUUUUGUGGAAUAGUUUGGACAUGCCUGAUUUAAAGCUACUGUGCUCUUAUUUUCAGUUCAUAUUGAACUGGGGUUCUAUUUGUAAUGUUUAUAAUGUGCAAAGGUGGCCAGAUAAUUCAUUAAGAUGUCUGUUCAUGUUGAACUGUGGUCUUAUUUCUGAAGGACAAUUGCCAUGUUUGUGUCUCCUGGAGUUUCAGGGCAAAUAGAUAAUUCUCCACCUAAGCAAGGAAAGAUGAAAAGUUUGCAGGGAUAUUUACUGCUCAAAAGAUUUCCGAUGUGGACUGAUUCCCUCUCGGUGUACAGCCAGCGAGCUCAAUGUUGACUUAUGGUGGUUUAUGAUGAAGGAGAAGAAUAACGUCAUCUGUAACUGAAGAAUCGUGGUCCUGUGUAUUUCCUGGAGGGAAUGAUGCAAAGGAAGGUUGAAAAGUGUUGAAAUGGUCCUUCAAAAAUAACCUUGUUUCAAUGUAUAAUGCAAUGCAUAUAUAUAUGUAUAUAGAUGAAUCAAUGUUGAUUUAAUUCAAUUUAAUUUCAUAUCAUAGUUGAAUAAAGGUUGAUUCAUUGUCAGAAUUGAUUGGACAUUCAACGUUAUUUCAAUGUUGAUCAUGGCGAGCACUUUCAUUGUAUAUUUCAAUAUCUGACAUCAAUGUUGAUUACAAUCUUCAGCCUGACAACAUCUCAAUGUUGAUUCAAUCAAAUUUUGCUAUCGUGGUCAGGGCAGCAUCAUCAUAAAUGACAUUGUUUCUAGAAAAACAUUUAGACAUUCUGCUUUAACCACUUUAAAUAUGUUUUUAAUGCCAUUCAAUUCAUUUGUAUGUUAUUUAUGCACACUUUUCUCCCAGUAUUUAGUUUUUCCUUGUUGACAAAAUCAUGAGGUUGGCAACAGAUUGACCAUGUAGCAGAAACACAAAUGAUAAC